ensembl:snRNA U6 U6 spliceosomal RNA
GCGCUGGAUCCAGCAGCACAUCUUCUAAAAUUGGAACUGGAGAGAAGAUGAGCAUGGCUCCUAUACAAGGAUGGCAUGUGAAUUCACGAAGCAUUCCAUGCUUUU